UUCAGUAGCUUGCUACUGUUAGGGGGGUCUAUUAGCCUGUAUAGUAUCACUACUGAUGAGCAGCGCGACCCUCUGUCUGUACCCUUGUCUUUUGCGCACUCAUGUUUCCUCGGCGGCUAACCCCCGCCGGCUGGACAACACUAUAACCUUUUUAAUUUUUAAUCAGCGUCUGAAAAACUUAAUAAUUACAACUUUCAACAACGGAUCUCUUGGUUCU
rnacentral:misc_RNA from 1 species